rnacentral:rRNA from 1 species
UACGUAGGGUGCAGGCGUUAAUCGGAAUUACUGGGCGUAAAGCGUGCGCAGGCGGUUUCUUAAGUCAGAUGUGAAAGCCCCGGGCUUAACCUGGGAACUGCGUUUGAAACUGGGAGACUUGAGUGUGGCAGAGGGGGGUGGAAUUCCACGUGUAGCAGUGAAAUGCGUAGAUAUGUGGAGGAACACCGAUGGCGAAGGCAGCCCCCUGGGCCAGCACUGACGCUCAGGCACGAAAGCGUGGGGAGCAAACAGG